CCCUUAGAGUUUGAUCCUGGCUCAGGACGAACGCUGGCGGCGCGCUUAACACAUGCAAGUCGAACGGGGUCCUUCGGGGCCCAGUGGCGAACGGGUGCGUAACACGUGAGCAACCUGCCCAUGCAUGGGGGAUAACCAAGGGAAACCUUGGCUAAUACCGCAUACGUUCCCCGGGGGGCAUUCCCCGGGGAGGAAAGCCCGUGCAAGCGGGCGUGCGUGGAGGGGCUCGCGGCGUAUCAGCUAGCUGGUGGGGUAACGGCUCACCAGGGCGACGACGCGUAGCCGAUCUGAGAGGAUGAUCGGCCACAUUGGGACUGAGAUACGGCCCAGACUCCUACGGGAGGCAGCAGUGGGGAAUCUUGCGCAAUGGGCGAAAGCCUGACGCAGCGACGCCGCGUGCGGGAGGAAGCUCUUCGGGGUGUAAACCGCUGUCGGGGGGGAAGAAAUGCCGUGGGAGGAAAUGCCCAUGGUUUGACGGUACCUCCAGAGGAAGCACCGGCUAACUCUGUGCCAGCAGCCGCGGUAAUACAGAGGGUGCGAGCGUUGUUCGGAAUUACUGGGCGUAAAGCGCGCGCAGGCGGCUCUUUAAGUCUGACGGUCAAAUGCCGGGGCUCAACCCCGAGCGUGCCGGGGAUACUGGAGGGCUGGAGACAGGUAGAGGCAAGCGGAAUUCCGGGUGUAGCGGUGGAAUGCGUAGAGAUCCG
rnacentral:rRNA from 1 species